rnacentral:rRNA from 1 species
UCAGUUCAGACUGCAGGCUGCAACUCGCCUGCACGAAGUCGGAAUUGCUAGUAAUCGUAGGUCAGCAUACUACGGUGAAUACGUUCCCGGGCCUUGUACACACCGCCCGUCAAACCAUGAGAGUUGGCAACACCCGAAGUCGGUAGUCUAACCGCAAGGAGGACGCCGCCGAAGGUGGGGUUGAUGAUUAGGGUUAAGUCGUAACAAGGUAUC